rnacentral:rRNA from 1 species
GUCGCGAGGCCGAGCCGAUCCCCAAAAGCCGUCUCAGUUCGGAUUGCACCCUGCAACUCGGGUGCAUGAAGGUGGAAUCGCUAGUAAUCGUGGAUCAGCACGCCACGGUGAAUACGUUCCCGGGCCUUGUACACACCGCCCGUCACACCAUGGGAGUUGGUUCUACCUUAAGUGGCUGCGCUAACCGCAAGGGGGCAGGUCACCACGGUAGGGUCAGCGACUGGGGUGAAGUCGUAACAAGGUAGCCGUAGGGGAACCUGCGGCUGGAUCACCUCCUUUCAAGG